CGCUCCUGCACCGCGCCUCGGCGAGCACGCAGCGGCGAGAGAGCCACGGCGAGCCGGAGCUGCGCCUCAUGCACCGCAUCUCCAUCAAGGGGGGAGGCACGCCGCCCUUCUACAUGGCG
rnacentral:ribozyme from 1 species